rnacentral:rRNA from 1 species
AUGGCCUCGCCGCCAUGCCCCUGCGCGCUCCCCAACACCGCGCGCGACGCGCCGCCGUGCGUAGAUCCGCGCCAGCCGGCCCCGAUGCGCGUCCACCCCGCCCUCGCGCUGCCUCGCCACGCCGCCUCGAGCCAGCGUAGCCGCCGCCCGAGCUCCCGCCGAAGAGGACGGCCCGCGCCGCGCCGCCCCGAGCGGAAGGAGGAAAGGGCCCCGCCGCCGCCGAGCCGCCCAGGCUUUGCCCGACGACGCCGUCCGGCGGCAGCGAGGGGAGGUGGCGGUGGUGGGUGCGGCGCUGCUGGCGGCUAG